UAUGCUUGAAAAAAAAGUUUGGCACCUCGUUAACCCCUCCUGGUUGAAGAAAAUAAAAACAGAGCACCGUUUGGACAACGCACAGCGCCAACCUUGUGUGGGGAAUAUACAAUCUCAUGGGCUUUUACGUUUCUCUGUUAGUCAUGGCCUUAUGGGCUCUCACCAGCAGCGGUCUCAUGGGCUGGCUAGUCGUCCCCGUCUCUUCAGCGUCACUUUGGACCUGGGCUUGACUGACCGCACACCCUGCACGACCUGUGAGCGAGAUGACGACGACCAGCUUCCUCCCCCGUUCCGCGGCGGCGCCGCCGCUGGACGACGACGACCUGCUCUCCGAGAUCCUGCUCCGCCUCCCCCCGCAGCCGUCCUCCCUCCCACGCGCCUCCCUCGUCUGCAGGCGCUGGCGCAGCCUCCUCUCCGACCCCGCCUUCCGCCGCCGCUUCCGCAUCCACCACCGCCGCAGCCCUCCGCUCCUCGGCUUCAUCGACGCGAACCAGGGCAUCACCUUCCAGCCAGCCCUGGACGCCCCCGACCGCCUCCCCCGCGGCCACUUCUCCCUCGACCUCCACGACCGCUACAUGACCCUCGGAUGGCGCCACGGCCUCGCGCUCUUCUUCCUCCCGAUCCCGCUCCAGGUCGUCGUGUGGGACCCCGUCGCCGGCGUCCAGCACCGCCUGGCCGUGCCCCCGGGGUUCGGGUUCCACCCGUUGGAGAACCCCAUCAACGGGACGGUGCUCCGCGCCGCCGGAGAAAUCGACCACUUCCAGGUGGUCUUGGUAAGCAGCGACGGGAAGCAGCCUAGAAGAGCGCUCGGCCGCGUUUACUCGUCGGAGACCGGCGUAUGGGGCGAUACCAUCUCAUGCCCGGUUCCAUUGGUGUCUAUGGUUCAUAUAGGCGAGCCCGCUGUACUGGCGGGGGAUUGCAUUUAUUGGUUGGUUUCAGCAUCCAAUAUCAUCGAGUUUGAUUUGGAUAGGCAGACCCUAGCUGUGACAUUGUUGCCAGCGCAGGUGCUUACCAGCCGCAAUCGCCAUGUCGUGGUUAUGCGGACAGAGGGUGGUGGGAUGGGUCUCAUCGUCGUGUCAGACUUCAUCGCCCAAUUAUGGAAGAGGGAGACAGACUGUCAUGGCGAUGUUUCUUGGAGCAGUUGGAGAACUAUUGAACUGGACAAGUUACUUCCCCCAAAUUCAGAGAAAGAGCCACCGAAUAUGAUAGGUUAUGCAGAGGAAAAUAAUGUGGCGUUCUUCUGGACAGUUGUUGGUGUCUUCAUGGUCCACCUUGAGUCGUUGCAGCUCAAGAAACUUCCUGUGACCGGCAUCGCUUAUCGUUACUAUCCAUUCGAAAUUGUCUACACUCCAGGCAUUGGUGGUGGACACGAGGGAGCGGAAGUUGUGAGGCAUUUGUGGUGGACACGGUGUAGACAAUACAUACGGCGAUUAUUCAGUUAGAUAUGAUAUUGUGAUGUACUGGUCAAGUGGGUAAGCUUAUCUUCCACAUGCAAGUUGAGUUAUCUGAACUGUUAUUUUCCGAAUAUGUAUUGCUUUACUUAUUAUUACCAUUUCUCAAGUACCAAAUUGCAAGAGCAUACGCUAUGAGUCUCUCUACAACCCUUUGCUCAACUAUUGCCCACCUAACGGCCUCCCAUCAUGCUUUCAUGGAUCACUGCCUCCUGGAUGUUUUCUUCUGGCCCAGCUUCUUUGCCUUCUCAUAGAUGAGGAAUCUUGUCAUGUUAAGCGGGUAGCAGAAUGAAAUACUUCCUCCUUCCUGUGCUCAGUGAGAAACUUGAAUACUCUUUCCUCGUUGGUGGUUCUUGUAAUUGGGUGCUGGUAGAUGGUGCAGUUGCGAUUGUUUUGAGUGACAAUUGGGAUCUCAGUGAACGUGAUCUGAUUACCGGAGUGAAAUCUCCGGGUAUAAUGAGUAUCUUGAUGUUCCCUUGGUACAAAUUUCUGAAUGGACCAAAUAGUAUCCUCUGUAUUGAAACUUCUGUUGUCAUAAGGAAAAAUAACCCAUGGACCAUAUGUUUGCAUUCCUUAUCAUCUUCUCUCAUCGAUUCACACUUCAUUUAGGUUUUUAAUAUAAUAUAAAUACAUCUGGGUUAGCAAUUGUUCAUGAAAAAAAAUGCCUAUUGAGCUAUAAAUGCAGCUUGACUGAAGAUCUAAAAAGGUCAGUUGCCAUAUCUGCCAGCAAACUGAUAAUUACUGUUUGAAGUAUAACGAAGGAAAUUCUGCAUUACUAAAUACUAAUUCAUGUCCCGUGGCUACUAGCAUUAUUAUUCAUUCCCCCCCUGAAACUUGUUUGGUGACGGUAAAUUCAUUUUCUCCCUGAAAUUUGUUUGGUGACUGUAAAUUCAUUUUCCCCCUGAAAUUUGUUUGGCGACGGAAUCUAGCUAAACAAAUCUUGAGUAGAGAAAUACGUAAUAAGCUGUAUCAGCAACAUGCACUGAAACUUGAAUAGUUGAUAGAUCAGUAAGCCUUUUAUUUUCCUUGGCAUUAGUGAACAUCUGUGGAUGAACAAUGUCUUUACUGUUUGUAGUCUUCGGUGGAGAAUCAAAUUUUGGUUGUGCCCUUGGAUGCCAUAUCCUCCCGUAUCUUAACUUCUGGUGGCCUAUGUUUGCAUUGAUUAUGUUGUAUAUUAUAUAAUAGGUUAGCGGGAUGAGGCGUGGUGCGUGUGAUAACCACUUUGUACUUGUUAAAAGCUCAUUUGUAUGUGUAUCUUACCACUUUGCUUUUUUUUUUUUUGACAUCAUAUCUUACCACUUUGCUGGUGUUAGUAUAUAGUAUUGUUGUACCUAUGAAAAUGAUAGGUGUAUUACAAGAACAUGCGUGUUCUUAUGGUAGUGCUCGUCAGCUUUUUCUUAUGUACUGUAUAUACAAGGCUUGGUUGAAUUGUGAAUGUGUAUGCAAAUAUCUGUUGAAUAUGUAUGGUUAAUGGUAACCGGUAAGAUUGCUUUA